UGAGGCCCAGCCUUGUGAGGGCUGUGGUGACCAACUCGAGAUUGCCAGGCUGUCAUAAAUUUUUUGGCUCAUGAGUUUAUGAGUGAAGCUAGCAUAGCCUGGGUGUCACCUGAGUUGAUGUAGCUGGGCCUUCCCCUGCCUCCGUGUUGUCCGUUGAUUUAUAGAGGAGUUUGAAUAACUGCUUUCCUUGCUGUAGCAGGGUAGGGG